CCUACGGGGGGCAGCAGUGGGGAAUAUUGGACAAUGGGGGGAACCCUGAUCCAGCCAUGCCGCGUGUGUGAAGAAGGCCCUCGGGUUGUAAAGCACUUUCAGUGAGGAAGAACGCCUGGUGGUUAAUACCCAUCAGGAAAGACAUCACUCACAGAAGAAGCACCGGCUAACUCCGUGCCAGCAGCCGCGGUAAUACGGAGGGUGCGAGCGUUAAUCGGAAUUACUGGGCGUAAAGCGCGCGUAGGUGGCUUGAUAAGCCGGUAGUGAAAGCCCCGGGCUCAACCUGGGAACGGCAUCCGGAACUGUCAAGCUAGAGUGCAGGAGAGGAAGGUAGAAUUCCCGGUGUAGCGGUGAAAUGCGUAGAGAUCGGGAGGAAUACCAGUGGCGAAGGCGGCCUUCUGGACUGACACUGACACUGAGGUGCGAAAGCGUGGGUAGCAAACAGGAUUAGAUACCCCAGUAGUC
rnacentral:rRNA from 1 species